GUGGGUAGAGCUCAGUGGUAGAGCGCAUGCCUAGCAUGCAUGAGGUCCUGAGUUCAAUUCCCAGUACCUCCA
rnacentral:tRNA from 1 species